UCCAAAUAGAACCUGACUGCUCAAUGGACAAGAAACAAACUCGAACCAAGAAGAAUAUUCUUGUACUAUACUACAUUUGGUUCCACAAGAAAGAGGCGUUCAACUAUUGGGCCUAUCUUCCUCUCAGUUUUGACGUGUUAAAAACUAAAUCAACAAACUGAAGAAUGCAACCGAUGCAGUAAACUACAGUUAAUUUGAAUGUAAAAAAAAUAAAAUCUGUUUUGUACACAAGAAGCUAGGUUGCAUACACUAAAAUGAUUAUUAAAAAAAUUUGUUCAUGCACUAGAUGAUAACUAAACCAACCAAUAUUCUACAUUCUUGUAUUGUACAAUGAUACUAUAGUUCUCAAUUUAGUUCGUGUAGUCUUUUGUUAUGCAAUUGUUGAUCUCUAAUUUGCUUCCAACAGAAAUUGCCUAUUGCGAAGGAAAGCGAUCUUUCGAUUGCCCAAUGUGAAUGCAGGUAUCGUGGCACUUGACGGUUUCAUUAGGUUGUACAGGAGUUUUGUACCUAAUGCAUUGAAGAAUCUCCCAAACAACAGAUGCAUUGAGGUCAGAAAGCCUCGAGCUUGUGCAACCCAACUCUCUUACAAUCUAAUAUAGGCCUGGAUAGAAGGUGUGCAAUAUCCAAGCUUUCCAUUAGGUGGUUCCCCACUUCUUGAUGCCACGAUCCAAAAAUUAGGCAAGUCCACUCCACAUGCUUAUUCAAAGUGGAAGUAACUAUAUAGAGUGUAGGCUCAGGGGUCCACAAUGCUUACAUGGAUGCAUGAUCAAAGCUUCUCAUUAGGUGGAACAUUUGGGGUGGAGCAUUGGUAAUAGAGGGGGGCUUUGCUGCUUCAUAUGGGGAUGGAUAUGGACUUCAUUCGGCGGUGCUGACAAAGGUCCUCUAUAUGCAUGAGUUCUGGUUCUUGGGGUGGAUUUGAGAAGCCUUGCCUCGGGCGUCGCUGAAGUCUGUUGAUUUUAUUUUUUUUUUCUUUUGCUUUUUCUUGUGUCUCAAUCUGUAAAUUUUAUGUCCAUUAUGUAACCUUUCAUUCUCAGGUCCCCUGUAAAUGAGGCUGGUUGUAAAUGAUUUACAAGUUGUGUUUGAAUGCUAAUUUAAGCUUGUAAAGGUCUUUUGAUUUAGAAGAUUCAACCUAGUUGAAUUGUUAAUUGUUUCUAUUAUUUUUUCUUUUACAAUGUAAAUGAUUUACCGGCAUUUUAAACAGAUUUUAUAGGCAUUUUUUAA